UCUGUGCGUAACAGUGUGACCAUGGUGAGUAGCAGUGGUCUCGGGAAUAACCACAUCAUCUUCACGAACAAUCUGAAUUGUAUCCCAAACAUCAUUUACAUUACGAUUCUCUUCAUUUGAAACUUCGUGUUCCCCCUCGUGGACAUUCUUCCCCAAUAAAGUUACGCAAAUAGGAGUCGACUUCCGGCCUUGAUUCAAUUUAAUUAGAUGUUUCAUUUCCACUUCAGAAGUAACUUUCAUAGGUGGAAUUGAAAUGGUUGAAUGCUUAUGAAACAAAAAUCCCAAUUCCAUAUCGUACUG
rnacentral:lncRNA from 1 species